GGGAGCUUUAAACGCUAAUUAGGAUGACUUUGGGAGACCAAACAAGCGUGGAGGAUUGAGGAUGGGUCAGGUCUGAAGAAGAACGGCGGCGGGGAUCAGGCGUCUGUGAUCAACUCAAAAAAAAAAAAACUGUAAACUUCUCAUUCGUCCAAAACGGAAAAUGUGAAGAACUUUUUAGUCAACUGAAUCAACAAGGGGUCUCAAGGGGUCUCCUUGGAAAUAAAACCUCUGUGGGUUUCCAACUGCGCUUUAGUGUCAGCAGGGUCGAUUGGUUAUGAAUCUUCUGACCUUCUUGUAUCAGACAGAUUUCCAGCUUUCAAGCUCUUCCGGGAAUGGCCGUGUGGAGGAAAAGUUGGCUUGUGAGCUUUUGUCUCCAGAUAUGCGCCUCCGUUGCGUCGUCCAAUGAAACACGCUGGAAAUGGCAACGAAAGUUUAUUUUCUGCGGGUUUUAUAAUCCCUGGUGACGUCAGAGCUGCGACGUCUGUAGUUCUGCACAUGUUGAACUGCGCAGCCAGCGCUCUAUUCCCCCAAAAUGGAUAACCCCAACAUCUGAAAAACAUCUGAAAAAAAAAACAGUAAAAUGCCAAAGAUGUUUUAUAGUGCUUUUGUGGAGUGUUUUAACUAGUUACAUGCUGGUUUGGUGGCAUAACUGAACCAAAAAAUUACAAACCAAGGAAAAUAGUGACCACUGUCAGAAAGCUGCUAGAUAUUAGUUUGGAUAACUUGGUACACAUCUAUAAGCAGGGAUCUCUUAACAAAGUAAAAAAAUAUUCUUGUUGAUCAGAAGCAUCCACUCCUUACUGCUUUUAAACUGUUGUAAUCAGGUAGCUUCCAGCCCUUAUAAAAAAAAUAGAAAGAAAGUAUUUUGUACUGAAAGCAAUUGGCUUCUUAAACACAUGUUGAAGCAAUAGUUUUUUUUCAGCAGGUCUGAACUGGUAGAACUUUGUUUCUUUUUUGAGAACAUGUUUUAAUCAAUUAUGUAUUUAAUGUAUCUUUAGAAAUUUGAUUACACUAUUGCGUAAAUAAGUAUCAUUCAUGGAAGCCAUGGGCUGCAGAGGAUGGUGGUGGUGUUGUUUAUCCUGGCGUUACAUUGUUUGCGGUUGUUUGGAGAUUGAGUGUCUUAAUUAUUUUUAUUUUCUUAUAAGUCGACAUAAAUGGCAUUCACUCACUGAACAAAUUUUCCCUAUUGGGACAAUAAAGUACUUAUUCAUGUAGGUCUGAGCCACCUGCAGUCUCCCCCUGCAGUGCUGUGGAAAGUUUUCUUCUGUUUAUUAUCAGAUUUAUUGUAAGUUAGAGAGAUGCACUUUUAUAACACUCUAAAAGCUGAUUGAAAUUCUGUUUAAGUUUUUUUUCCCCAAUGCUGUAAACUGACCAAUGAGAUAAUGUUGAGAUGAAGAUACUUUUAUACGGUGAGCUGGACUGGCCCAACUUUGAGGUGAAGCAGGAGCAGACAAAAAAAAAAAAUAUAUAUAUAUAUUUAUAAUAUGUUUUGUUUGAUGGUUAAAAAAAAGGAAUAAAAUGAACAUUAAAAGAA